AGCAUGUGGUUUAAUUCGAAGCAACGCGAAGACCUUACCAGGUCUUGACAUCCCGAUGCUAUUUCUAGAGAUAGAAAGUUACUUCGGUACAUCGGUGACAGGUGGUGCAUGGUUGUCGUCAGCUCGUGUCGUGAGAUGUUGGGUUAAGUCCCGCAACGAGCGCAACCCCUAUUGUUAGUUGCCAUCAUUCAGUUGGGCACUCUAGCGAGACUGCCGGUAAUAAACCGGAGGAAGUGGGGAUGACGUCAAAUCAUCAUGCCCCUUAUGACCUGGGCUACACACGUGCUACAAUGGUUGGUACAACGAGUUGCGAGUCGGUGACGGCGAGCUAAUCUCUUAAAGCCAAUCUCAGUUCGGAUUGUAGGCUGCAACUCGCCUACAUGAAGUCGGAAUCGCUAGUAAUCGCGGAUCAGCACGCCGCGGUGAAUACGUUCCCGGGCCUU
rnacentral:rRNA from 1 species